AAGCCACAGCAAUUACACCAUUAAUCAACAUAACAAUAUUAUCAGGCAUGAUUUAACCAAUGCACAAGCACAGUACAGUGCUAUAAUUUAAAUUGCCAAAUAACACCCUGGAUAUGUUUAAGAAUUGUAACAGUAUUAUAACUUAUUACUUACACUCUCAUGGAUGCAGUCAGAGGACGGAGCAAUCAACAAAAAAGGAGAAGCAAGAGUCCAGAAAACACAGCUGCAGGAUUGCAAAUAUCCAGGGACGGGUGAGGGGACCAGCGGGAAGCCCAGCGCUGCUACUUGGCCCUGGUUAGUCCUCAUGGAUGAGGUGUUAGGGCAGAGGCCUUCCAUUGCCCCCCCCCGUCCUAAUUGGAGGACACACCGGGGCCAAGUGCCGCUGCGGCUGACCAGGUGGUGGUGGAGGAUGAGGAUGAUGAAGAGGUGGUGGUGGAGGAGGACGAAAGUCAGCCAGGGCCGUCCAGAAAGCGGAGGAGGGAGGACGAACUCGUCUCCCUCAUCAGGGAGGACAUGAGGCUCCAGAGAGAGGCAGAGGAGAGGCGGGAGCGAGAGAGCGCAGCCUGCAUGGAGAAGCUGCUGGAGAGAAUGCCGGAUCGUUGAGUCUCUUUUUCUUUCUCUACUGUUAUAUAUUAAAGUUUCAUUAUAAUUUACGGGUGUUAUUUAUUUUUAAUGAUUGUUCAUAUGAUUUCAUUUUUCAUACAUUAAAAUAUGUUCUUGUUA